rnacentral:rRNA from 1 species
GCUGGCGGCACGCCUAACACAUGCAAGUCGAACGCAGUAGCAAUACUGAGUGGCGAACGGGUGAGUAUAAUGUGGGUAUCUGCCUUUUGGUUUGGAAUAACAUGAGGAAACUUGUGCUAAUACCGGAUAAGCCCUUACGGGGAAAGUUUUAACGCCGAAAGAUGAGCCCGCACUUGAUUAGCUAGUUGGUAGGGUAAAAGCCUACCAAGGCUACGAUCAAUAGCUGAUCUGAGAGGAUGAUCAGCCACAUUGGGACUGAGACACGGCCCAGACUCCUACGGGAGGCAGCAGUGGGGAAUCUUGCACAAUGGGGGAAACCCUGAUGCAGCGAUGCCGCGUGAGUGAAGAAGGCCUUUGGGUUGUAAAGCUCUUUCGUCGGGGAAGAAAAUGACUGUACCCGAAUAAGAAGGUCCGGCUAACUUCGUGCCAGCAGCCGCGGUAAUACGAAGGGACCUAGCGUAGUUCGGAAUUACUGGGCUUAAAGAGCUCGUAGGUGGUUAGAAAAGUUGGUGGUGAAAUCCCAAGGCUUAACCUUGGAACUGCCAUCAAAACUUUUUAACUAGAGUAUGAUAGAGGAAAGUGGAAUUUCUAGUGUAGAGGUGAAAUUCGUAGAUAUUAGAAAGAACACCGAUUGCGAAGGCAACUUUCUGGAUCAUUACUGACACUGAGGAGCGAAAGCAUGGGUAGCGAAGAGGAUUAGAUACCCUCGUAGUCCAUGCUGUAAACGAUGUGUGCUAGACGUUGGAAAUUUAUUUUUCAGUGUCGCAGCAAAAGCGUUAAGCACACCGCCUGGGGAGUAC